GUAGUCAUAUGCUUGUCUCAAAGAUUAAGCCAUGCAUGUCUAAGUAUAAGCAAUUAUACCGCGAAACUGCGAAUGGCUCAUUAUAUAAGUUAUCGUUUAUUUGAUAAUACUUUACUACUUGGAUAACCGUGGUAAUUCUAGAGCUAACACAUGCUAAAAAUCCCGACUUCGGAAGGGUUGUAUUUAUUAGAUUAAAAACCAAUGCCCUCUCGGGGCUCUCUGGUGAAUCAUGAUAACUAGUCGAAUCGACAGGCCUUGUGCCGGCGAUGGCUCAUUCAAAUUUCUUCCCUAUCAACUUUCGAUGUUUGGGUCUUGUCCAAACAUGGUGGCAACGGGUAACGGAGGGUUAGGGCUCGACCCCGGAGAAGGAGCCUGAGAAACGGCUACUACAUCCAAGGAAGGCAGCAGGCGCGCAAAUUACCCAAUCCCGACACGGGGAGGUAGUGACAAUAAAUACUGAUACAGGGCUCUUUUGGGUCUUGUAAUCGGAAUGAGUACAAUUUAAAUCCCUUAACGAGGAACAAUUGGAGGGCAAGUCUGGUGCCAGCAGCCGCGGUAAUUCCAGCUCCAAUAGCGUAUAUUAAAGUUGUUGUGGUUAAAAAGCUCGUAGUUGAACCUUGGGCCUGGCUGGCCGGUCCGCCUCACCGCGUGCACUGGUCCGGCCGGGCCUUUCCCUCUGCGGAACCCCAUGCCCUUCACUGGGUGUGGCGGGGAAACAGGACUUUUACUUUGAAAAAAUUAGAGUGCUCAAGGCAGGCCUAUGCUCGAAUACAUUAGCAUGGAAUAAUAGAAUAGGACGUGUGGUUCUAUUUUGUUGGUUUCUAGGACCGCCGUAAUGAUUAAUAGGGACAGUCGGGGGCAUCAGUAUUCAAUUGUCAGAGGUGAAAUUCUUGGAUUUAUUGAAGACUAACUACUGCGAAAGCAUUUGCCAAGGAUGUUUUCAUUAAUCAGGAACGAAAGUUAGGGGAUCGAAGACGAUCAGAUACCGUCGUAGUCUUAACCAUAAACUAUGCCGACUAGGGAUCGGACGAUGUUACAUUUUUGACGCGUUCGGCACCUUACGAGAAAUCAAAGUGCUUGGGCUCCAGGGGGAGUAUGGUCGCAAGGCUGAAAACUUAAAGAAAUUGACGGAAGGGCACCACCAGGGGUGGAGCCUGCGGCUUAAUUUGACUCAACACGGGGAAACUCACCAGGUCCAGACACAAUGAGGAUUGACAGAUUGAGAGCUCUUUCUUGAUUUUGUGGGUGGUGGUGCAUGGCCGUUCUUAGUUGGUGGAGUGAUUUGUCUGCUUAAUUGCGAUAACGAACGAGACCUUAACCUGCUAAAUAGCCCGUAUUGCUUUGGCAGUACGCCGGCUUCUUAGAGGGACUAUCGGCUCAAGCCGAUGGAAGUUUGAGGCAAUAACAGGUCUGUGAUGCCCUUAGAUGUUCUGGGCCGCACGCGCGCUACACUGACGGAGCCAGCGAGUACUCCCUUGGCCGGAAGGCCUGGGUAAUCUUGUUAAACUCCGUCGUGCUGGGGAUAGAGCAUUGCGAUUAUUGCUCUUCAACGAGGAAUGCCUA
rnacentral:rRNA from 1 species